rnacentral:lncRNA from 1 species
UAAUUUUAAUAUUUCUGUAGAUAAAGUUUCUAAGAUGUCAGCAUCUGCAUUUACAAUGUUUUCUCUCCUCUUUCUUUUAGGUAAGUGGCCAUCUUAUGCUUGGAUACAUCAACUUCAGAACGGAUGGAUGUGUAAGGCUCCAUCCCUUGUCUCUGAUGCUGUGGUUGUGUUGUGUUUUCACUUGGACCCUUUGAAGAGUGCCCACGGAUGGAUUUUUGCACGCUGUCUGCUUGGCUGCAGGGCAAUUGAAGAUCAAUUUUCUGUGGUUGGGCUUAUUUGCUUGUGUAAAAUAUAUAUUGUUACAAAGACAAUCUGGAUGUGUAUUUGA